rnacentral:rRNA from 1 species
UCCAGACUCCUACGGGAGGCAGCAGUGGGGAAUUUUGGACAAUGGGCGCAAGCCUGAUCCAGCUAUUCCGCGUGUGGGAUGACGGCCCUCGGGUUGUAAACCACUUUAGUAGAGAACGAAAAGGAGCUAUCGAAUAAAUAGCUCUGCUGACGGUACUCUAAGAAUAAGCACCGGCUAACUCCGUGCCAGCAGCCGCGGUAAUACGGAGGAUGCGAGCGUUAUCCGGAUUUAUUGGGUUUAAAGGGUGCGCAGGCGGCACGGCAAGCCGGCGGUCAAAUCGCGGGGCUCAACCCCGCCCAGCCGUCGGAACUGCCGGGCUAGAGUGGGCGAGAAGUGCGCGGAAUGCGUGGUGUAGCGGUGAAAUGCAUAGAUAUCACGCAGAACUCCGAUUGCGAAGGCAGCGCACCGGCGCCCUACUGACGCUCAGGCACGAAAGCGUGGGUAUCGAACAGGAUUAGAUACCCCGGUAC